AUUGAACGCUGGCGGCAUGCCUUACACAUGCAAGUCGAACGGUAACAGGUCUUCGGAUGCUGACGAGUGGCGAACGGGUGAGUAAUGCAUCGGAACGUGCCCAGUAGUGGGGGAUAGCCCGGCGAAAGCCGGAUUAAUACCGCAUACGACCUGAGGGUGAAAGGGGGGGAUCGCAAGACCUCUCGCUAUUGGAGCGGCCGAUGUCAGAUUAGCUAGUUGGUGGGGUAAAGGCCUACCAAGGCAACGAUCUGUAGUUGGUCUGAGAGGACGACCGGCCAAACUGGGACUGAGACACGGCCCAGACUCCUACGGGAGGCAGCAGUGGGGAAUUUUGGACAAUGGGCGCAAGCCUGAUCCAGCAAUGCCGCGUGCAGGAAGAAGGCCUUCGGGUUGUAAACUGCUUUUGUCAGGGAAGAAAUCUUCUGGGUUAAUACCUCGGGAGGAUGACGGUACCUGAAGAAUAAGCACCGGCUAACUACGUGCCAGCCGCCGCAGUAAAAC
rnacentral:rRNA from 1 species